rnacentral:rRNA from 1 species
GUGGGGAAUCUUCCGCAAUGGACGAAAGUCUGACGGAGCAACGCCGCGUGAGUGAUGAAGGUCUUCGGAUUGUAAAGCUCUGUUAAUCGGGACGAAAGAGCCUAGUGUGAAUAAUGCUAGGAAGUGACGGUACCGGAAUAGAAAGCCACGGCUAACUACGUGCCAGCAGCCGCGGUAAUACGUAGGUGGCAAGCGUUGUCCGGAAUUAUUGGGCGUAAAGCGCGCGCAGGCGGAUCUGCCAGUCUGUCUUAAAAGUUCGGGGCUUAACCCCGUGAUGGGAUGGAAACUACAGAUCUAGAGUAUCGGAGAGGAAAGUGGAAUUCCUAGUGUAGCGGUGAAAUGCGUAGAUAGUAGGAAGAACACCAGUGGCGAAGGCGACUUUCGGGACGAAAACUGACGCUGAGGCGCGAAAGCCAGGGGAGCGAACGGGAUUAGAAACCCCAGUAGUCC